rnacentral:rRNA from 1 species
CCUACGGGGGGCAGCAGUGGGGAAUAUUGGGCAAUGGGCGCAAGCCUGACCCAGCAACGCCGCGUGAAGGAAGAAGGCUUUCGGGUUGUAAACUUCUUUUCUCAGGGACGAAGCAAGUGACGGUACCUGAGGAAUAAGCCACGGCUAACUACGUGCCAGCAGCCGCGGUAAUACGUAGGUGGCAAGCGUUAUCCGGAUUUACUGGGUGUAAAGGGCGUGUAGGCGGGAAAGCAAGUCAGAUGUGAAAACCAUGGGCUCAACCUGUGGCCUGCAUUUGAAACUGUUUUUCUUGAGUACUGGAGAGGCAGACGGAAUUCCUAGUGUAGCGGUGAAAUGCGUAGAGAUUAGGAGGAACACCAGUGGCGAAGGCGGUCUGCUGGACAGCAACUGACGCUGAGGCGCGAAAGCGUGGGGAGUAAACAGGAUUAGAUACCCCAGUAGUC